rnacentral:lncRNA from 1 species
CCUGCCAUCUGCGGACUGGUGGGUGGGUCCGGGGCAUCUUUGGCUGGGGGCUGCUGUCCCGCGCUGGAUGUGUGCCGAUGGGGUGCCUCCGUCCCCGCGGUGGGGGUCGCCGGUUGCUCGCGGGCCGGCGGGGGGCGCUGCCCCGUGGCUUGCGCUGUCCGGGGGGCGGCGGGCCCUGGGCUGCUGGCCUUGUGCCGUCUGGGGCUGUGCGGUCCUGCUGGGCUGUGGCCGGGACCUGGGCUGGGGUGGGGGGCGCGUCCCGGGGGGCUUGGCCCGGGGGCUUGCCCUUGGGGGGUCCUGGUCCCUGGGGGUACUCCUGGGGCCCGGGGUGCUUGGCCGGCUGGCCGGGCCGGUCCUGGCGGGGGUCUUCUGGGGCGGGUGGCGCGUGCCGCGCCCUUGCAUACCUUCUGGUGCGGCCCCUGCUUGGGCAGUCCCCCGUGAGGCAGAGUGUCGGGGUGGGAUUAGGGGGCCACAUCCCGGCGGGGCGGUCUGGCUUGGCCUCUGGAGGGGGCCCUGGCUUUAAAGAACUGAAGCUCGUGGCGCGGGCGGCAUCAGCAUCUGGGGCGCCCGGGGGGGCUGGGUUGGGGUGCCUGGGGACUGGCGGGGGGACUCCCAGCGGCCCCCUGGUGCCUUAUGCGGCUUGGGGUGUGGUCGUUCGCCCUGGGCGGGCUGCUCCUGGUGCUGCAUCCAUUCCGGGUCCUCCUGGCCUGGGGUCGGGUCCUUGCUGGCUCUGGGCUCACCGGCGGGUGCCCGCCGGCUGCCUGUUCGGCGUGGCUCUGGUCGUCUGCUGGGCGUGGGCUUUGGCUCCUCCGCUGGGGUCUCGGGCGGGGGGCUCUCUGGGCCCUCCCCUCGGGGGGCUGGGCGCGGGGGUGUGGGUGGUGGUGGGGGGGUGGGGGGCUGGGGGGCCUGGGGGUUGGGGGUUGGAGUCGGUGGCGUGGUGCGCUUGGUCCUUGGCUCCUUGGGGGCUUUUCGGGUGUGUAUGGGGGGGGCAAUGGCAGCCUCUCGGCUUGGGACCUUGGGGGCGUUCGGGGGGCUGCUUGGCCGUGGGGUGGUCGCCGGGGGCCCCUAGAUCUCUCGCUCUUUCUGCUGGCCCGACUGCUUCUUCGGGCCCGGGGGCGGCUCAUGGGUUUUGCAGUAGCGGCUCUUGGAAUCACAUUUGUCAUGGACGCACUGGCCUCGGGCUGUGGGAUAACACUCAUACUGGGCUCAACCAUAGACACGUUGUUCCCAAAUACCUGUUUUAUGUAACUUCCACUCACUUCCUCCUCUGCUCACAGCCACCACCAUUAUUCCUAAGCCGCACACUGGUCACCAGACUGGCUUGAUAACACAACAAUAAGCACAAUAUACACAACCACAAUUUCACAUCACAUCACUUGAAACUUAUUGAUUAUUCCCCACCCAUUCGUUUUCCUAUCUUGUAUCCCUCCUCCCUGUUAACUCCCCCCCCCCCCACCCCCCUCACCCUGGUGUAACACUGCCCUCUCUCUUUUACAUCCUCCCUUUAAUAAAGUAUUUACCCUUCCCUAGGGAGGGCUGGUGAUGGUCACAAUUAUGCAAUGAAAUAAACUCAUUUAUUUAAUUGCAAUAAUAAAAUAUGCAUUGCUGUUAAAAGAUUGCACUUCUUGUAGUGUUAACCUUCAACAGCAUGUGCAAACAAGAAAAAAAAAAAAAAAAAAAAAAAAAAAAAAAAAAAAAAAAAAAAAAAAUAUGACUGUGUCGUGCAAUGGAAUGACACCCUUUCCACAAUAUACCUCAGCGUAGCACCCGAUGACAGCUGGAGAUAGACACCAGCAGACCCUUGCAACCCUGAAAAGGAGCAAG